rfam:Hortaea werneckii EXF-2000 unitig_23, whole genome shotgun sequence.
ACGAACGACCAGAGGUUCCAGAGAACAGAGGAUCCCGUCCGCUCUCCUGUACUUAAGCUGGAAACCGGUGGAUUAGUAUUAACGUCGGUGACGAGUUGAGAAUCCCCACUGUUGUUCGUU